rnacentral:rRNA from 1 species
CCUACGGGUGGCAGCAGUGAGGAAUAUUGGUCAAUGGACGCAAGUCUUAACCAGCCAUGCCGCGUGCAGGAAGACGGCUCUAUGAGUUGUAAACUGCUUUUGUACGAGGGUAAACGCAGAUACGCGUAUCUGUCUGAAAGUAUCGUACGAAUAAGGAUGGGCUAACACCGUGCCAGCAGCCGCGGGAAUACGGAGGAUUCACUCGUUAUCCGGGUUUAUUGGGUUUAAGGGGUGCUUAGGCGGUCGGAUACGUAAGAGGUGAAAUCCCGGGGCUCAACUUCGGAAUUGCCUCUGAUACUGUUCGGCUAGAGAGUAGUUGAGGUAGGCGGAAUGUCUGGUGUAGCGGUGAAAUGCUUAGAGAUCAUACAGAACACCGAUUGCGAAGGCAGCUUACCAAGCUACUUCUGACGUUGAGGCACGAAAGCGUGGGGAGCAAACAGGAUUAGAUACCCGAGUAGUC